rnacentral:rRNA from 1 species
UACAGAGGGGGCAAGCGUUGUUCGGAAUUACUGGGCGUAAAGGGCGCGUAGGCGGCCUUCUAAGUCGAACGUGAAAUCCCCGGGCUCAACCCGGGAACUGCGUCCGAGACUGGAAGGCUCGAAUCCGGGAGAGGGAUGUGGAAUUCCAGGUGUAGCGGUGAAAUACGUAGAUAUCUGGAGGAACAUCGGUGGCGAAGGCGGCAUCCUGGACCGGUAUUGACGCUGAGGCGCGAAAGCCAGGGGAGCAAACGGG